AUAACCUGUUAAUUAAUAACAUUAUUAAACUCUGUUUGUUUUGGUUUCAUAAUCUCACUGGAGACAAUAGAGUUGAAAUGAAGGUACAUUAACUCGACUAUUAUACACAAGGAAGUGCACGACUCAAUUGUCGUUUGGAAUGUGACCUGCCAGUAUAAAAGCUCUGGUGCAAGAGGUUUGUCUACAUACCAUCCGACAACAUGAAGGUUCAACUUCUCACGCUGCUGCUCCUGCUGUGCUGCACUCAGGUGCUCACACUCAGAUGCUACACCUGUGUAGGUGAAGAUGACGAGGACUGUAAGGUGGAGACAGAGUGCCCGGCAACAGCUCAGUACUGCAUGACCAUGCAAUACGGUGGAGAACUUUCUCGAACUUGUCAGGAUUAUUGUGCCGAAGAUGAUAACACAUAUUGCUGCCAAGAAGACCUCUGCGACCCAUGAGUCAUCCCUCAGCGCUGACUUUCGCUUUCUGAAAAAUGAAAUGAAUAUAUAAGACAAAUGUAUUACUUAAAUCUAAAUCAGAUCGAAGAUGAUUUUUAACUUUAUAGGAUUGUAAUGUGACUAUCCUGUCUUGCUUUUACUUUCAUUAAACUCUACAAAUAUUGAAUCA
rnacentral:lncRNA from 1 species